GAUGAACGCUGGCGGCGUGCUUAACACAUGCAAGUCGAACGAAGCACCUUGAUUUGAUUCUUCGGAUGAAGAUCUUGGUGACUGAGUGGCGGACGGGUGAGUAACGCGUGGGUAACCUGCCUCAUACAGGGGGAUAACAGUUAGAAAUGACUGCUAAUACCGCAUAAGACCACAGUACCGCAUGGUACAGGGGUAAAAACUCCGGUGGUAUGAGAUGGACCCGCGUCUGAUUAGGUAGUUGGUGGGGUAACGGCCUACCAAGCCGACGAUCAGGAGCCGACCUAGGAGGGUGACCGGCCACAUUGGGACGGAGAAACGGCCCAAACUCCUACGGGAGGCAGCAGUGGGGAAUAUUGCACAAUGGGGGAAACCCUGAUGCAGCGACGCCGCGUGAGCGAUGAAGUAUUUCGGAAUGUAAAGCUCUAUCAGCAGGGAAGAAAAUGACGGUACCUGACUAAGAAGCACCGGCUAAAUACGUGCCAGCAGCCGCCGUAA
rnacentral:rRNA from 1 species